rnacentral:lncRNA from 1 species
AAGGAUUUAAAAAUUAUUUAUUUUUUUAUUACAAUAAAUAUUUAUCAAUAAAGAAUUAAACCAUUGAAAACUAAAACCUACUGCCUUAAAGUUGGAGUCCAUAGCAGCAGACACAAACAUAAAAUCCAGUUGAAAGGUCAAGGGUCAAGGUUUCUAGACUCCGGUGACAACAGUCAGGUCCUGAUUAUAUGGACUAAUGACGGGGAACGGUAACACAGAGAAUGCAGAACCCACACUCAAACGACCCAGAGUAUGCUACUAUACAUCCAACCACAAGACUUGGAACAUUCCGGUGAAGUGAAGCAGGCUCAGAGCUCUGCUUCAGCAAGAUCAAGUAUCUCCCAGAUGGCGUCCGCAAGCACACCGCUCCCAAAGCUCCUCCCAGCCGAAAGAGGGCCUGGGAGACCCAGAAACCUCAACCCCAAAGAUAAUAGCCAGCAUUCUCGAAACCAGUCUUUCUGGCUCCAAGUUCCCUGGUGAAAGGGACGUGGAACUGGAUAUACUUGGAGGGCUUUCUCAGGGCCGAGAUAACCUGGAGGGGAAGGAUCACGGUUCCAGGGGGGACGUGGCUUUAGAUGUGGGCCAUGGGCACACCGAGCCCACACAAAGCAACAGGUUAAUGAGGGUUGCCACCUGGCUGAGAAUCAAGGGCAAACUCUAUUAGAUCCCAUAUCAUAGAUACAUACGGAGAACAGGUGUACACAGUGAACGUGUAAACACAGAGCACAUGGGACCAGAGGAAAUAAAUGCUAAAUUAACACGGCAAGUCCUAUACAGGCCAACUACAACUGAAGCACUCGAAAGGGGAAGGAUCUUAUGUCCUCUUUUUCUUCCUCUCUGGUAUCUUUCUCAUUCUUUGCGGCAAACACACCCCACCUGCUCUAGUGACGGUUUUUAAGUAUCUGGGAAGAAAUUUUACUCUUGCUUCAGAAGACUACAGAGAGUCUACCCAUAAAGGCACCAAAUUAAACUCUCAGCCACACAGACCCUGCUGCCUGUUCAAAGCAUAGGUCAUAAAAUCUCACUCAAGAAAGCAGGACUGUAUUUUCUUCGGCUGUCACCCACUUAAUGCUCCAUGAGGCAAGAAGGGCAAGAGCACGUGGCUUCCCAUGUACCUUGGUCAUUACUGUCUUCCAUUCUGCCCAAAAAGGGGGGAUUUUUUUUUGUUUGUUUGUUUGUUUUGUUCUUUUUUUCGGAGCUGGGGAGCGAACCCAGGGCCUUGCGCUUCCUAGGCGAGUGCUCUACCAUUGAGCUAAAUCCCCAGCCCCGGGAUUUUUUUUUUAAACUGAAAUUCUGAGUUCAAUGCUGAAUUCUGCUCCCUUGGGACAUUUUGAAAUGAGCUAACCAUUGGGCAUAACUGAGUCUUUGUCUCUGGAAUGGCUGCUCUGAUAAGGCUAUCUGAAUGUUAACAUGGGACAGCAGAGUGGGCGAGCAGCUCUGAUGCUCACUACUAUAGAGUUACAGAAAUCUCUACAGGUGAGCGCUGCAGUCAAGGAUGCUUACCAAGAAUAUCACAAUCGAGAAUCCAUGGAGGAUUAUUUCUGUUUACAAAGAAACCCACUCCAGCUCUUAUUUUGUUACCCAAAGAAACUGCUUAAAAGAUCUUAGCUAGCAUGAUAGAAAACAUCCGCGGUACUUGGUCAUUCCCUGGCCUCACCACUAUCUUUGACUUCCAUUUUAGUGCUACUGAAAGGGCACUCACUGGUCCUAUUUUAGACUCUCAGUGGCCACGGUCCAACUACCAUAAAAGCAGCUGGACUCCCUGACUCCAUCCAGCUCUCUAAGAAUGAUCUUCUGAAAGGCAAGACAAGAAUCUAAAAGCCCCGAACAACCUUUCUGCUCUGCCCAAUGGUAUCUGCCUAGAGACAAGCCCUGUCAGUUACUCCAAAAUCUGUCCUGGGAACCUGGCCUUCCUCACGGAAUGAACAAAACUCCUUGCUCAAGCUGCUUGUGGGAGGGGACUAAAUGUCACAAUCCCUUCUGCUACCCUAAACGUGAGCUCAGCAGAUAUCUAUAAAAAGAAUAUAUCCCUGCUUAAAAGGCAGUAGAUAGUAACUAGCGAGCAAAGCAUGUGACAACAUGCAGGUUAGAAAGUAAGUUACACUUAGUUUGUAAAACACUGGAAAUAAAUCAGCUAGCAAGUCCAAUCCCCACAGCCCAUCACAGACACAUCACUGUCUCUCUCUCUCUCUGGAAAAGUUAGACCACCAUGAUUUACCACAUACCCUGAGGUUACUGCCUGUUGUGAUGUCAGCCAUUUGUCUCACUGUCAAAGACAAUUUAGAAACAAAAACAAACAAAACACCUAAUAUAUACAAAAGCCAUUGGGUUACAUAGGAAAGGAAAAGGAAAAUUUACACUAGUUUUUCAAAUUCGUAGAGCAUCAUGCAUCUAAGUUUAGCAGCGAUUAACCACUUUACUGUUUAGGACUGUCGCUUUAAAUGCAAAGGGCGUCAGUGCAUUGUGCUAGGUUAAGAUUCUUUCUGGAAGGCUGUCACAGAGCAGCAAACUACGAUAAGAUCACUCACCCACAGUGAGUGUUCAAGACAGGGCAUGCUGCUUAAAAUGACAUUUCAUUGGACAAAGAAAACUCUGGCCUGACAUCACAGAGUUCCUAAAGAGGGCUUGAUCAAAUCCAGAAGUCAGUCAUGAAGACAGCAUCCGGACACAAGCAUCUCCACAACCAAUUCCAUCUCUCUAUCUGUUUCUGGCUAAUUUGGAGACCCAGAGUUAAAGCUGCAGACCUCAGGUUAACCUUCUCUAGGGUUGUUCCCAGUCCUUCACCAGCCAAGAUAUUAAAGGCAUUCACCAUAUCAACAUGGCAACAUCUGGCUGCAACCAAGCCAGGACACAGUGAGCUGUUUCUGUCCUAGGUGUUGGCUCACUGUGAGGAGUUACAAGUUGAUUUCAAGUUACAUUUUAAAGAGACAAAGGAGUCCUGGACUUAAACACCUCCAAAUGACCUAUUUACUCUCCAUAGUUCAUGGAAUUGACGUUGGUUUCAGGAAGCAAGGUCCCUUCCUACCCCUUCUGAUUACAACAUAUUCCCUUAAUAUAAUUUAGCGUGUGUUAACCUCAGAUGCACACCUCUCUUCCACCGCCUCAGGAGCGAGCAAACGGCCUAUUAGCAGUGCUAAUAAACCAUGUACAACAUCUCCUGUUCGAAAUUGGAAUUGGAAGUAUUUCAAUCAUAAACACUGAAAUGCCAAGUGAACGGUUAUAUUUUUACUUCAAAGUUACUCUGUUGCUCUGAAACCUAUAAACUCUAUUAGUAUUUUUUGAAGCAAAGACAGUGAUUAUGACAAUUUCAAACAGUGAACUGCGAUAGGAUAUAAGUAUCAUUGAAAGGUCAGGCGGCAGCCUCUAUCCAAGUAUUAUUAAUGUUGUAUCCCACACCCUCUCAAAUACAGGGAUGUUAUUUUCUGAAAAGCCUGAAUGGGCUUUUUCAUACCAUAACCUGAAAAGAAACUUCUGACUGACAGUGUCUGUCUGUAGUGUGGGUGGAUCCAGCAGCAUUGAAAUGCAAAUGCAUGGCCUGGGUCAGGCCCUUUAUUCCUCAAGUACUGAGAGGAAAGUGCUUAUGCUCCCAAAAGCCUGCAGUACCUUUUACAUUGGGAAAGUGUACAGGAAGGGGGUGACCGACACACAGAGCUCCUGACAGUCAAGCCCUGCCUCUGCUACGACAAAUGGGCCCAUCAAGAUGGCCGUCAGGACGCAGGACGUGAGCAGCCAGGAGGGAUGUGAGGCCACAGGAUUCUGAGACAUGGCUCACUUCCACUCCCCCUUGACAGCGGCCUCCGCUUCUAUUCGACAGUGUCGACAAAACUAACCAGAAACAGAAUUCCUCACUAUCACAGAGGCAGGUUUAAAAAAAAAAAACAAAA